UGGGGAAAUUUGGAAAAUGGACCGGGAGCCUGAUCCAGCAAUUCUUUGUGAACGAGGAGGUUUUUCGGAAUGUAAGGUGCUUUCAGUUGGGAAGAAAAAAAUAACGGUACUAACAGAAGAAUUGACGGCUAAAUACGUGCCAGCAGCCGGGGUAAUACGUAUGUCACAAGCGUUUUCCGGAUUUAUUGGGCGUAAAGCGCGUCUAGGUGGUUAUGUAAGUCUGAUGUGAAAAUGCAGGGCUCAACUCUGUAUUGCGUUGGAAACUGUAUAACUAGAGUACUGGAGAGGUAAGCGGAACUACAAGUGUAGAGGUGAAAUUCGUAGAUAUUUGUAGGAAUGUCGAUGGGGAAGCCAGCUUACUGGACAGAUACUGACGCUAAAGCGCGAAAGCGUGGGUAGCAAACAGG
rnacentral:rRNA from 1 species